rnacentral:rRNA from 1 species
ACGGGUGAGUAAUGCCUAGGAAUCUGCCUGGUAGUGGGGGAUAACGCUCGGAAACGGACGCUAAUACCGCAUACGUCCUACGGGAGAAAGCAGGGGACCUUCGGGCCUUGCGCUAUCAGAUGAGCCUAGGUCGGAUUAGCUAGUUGGUGAGGUAAUGGUUCACCAAGGCGACGAUCCGUAACUGGUCUGAGAGGAUGAUCAGUCACACUGGAACUGAGACACGGUCCAGACUCCAACGGGAGGCAGCAGUGGGGAAUAUUGGACAAUGGGCGAAAGCCUGAUCCAGCCAUGCCGCGUGUGUGAAGAAGGUCUUCGGAUUGUAAAGCACUUUAAGUUGGGAGGAAGGGCCAUUACCUAAUACGUGAUGGUUUUGACGUUACCGACAGAAUAAGCACCGGCUAACUCUGUGCCAGCAGCCGCGGUAAUACAGAGGGUGCAAGCGUUAAUCGGAAUUACUGGGCGUAAAGCGCGCGUAGGUGGUUCGUUAAGUUGGAUGUGAAAGCCCCGGGCUCAACCUGGGAACUGCAUUCAAAACUGUCGAGCUAGAGUAUGGUAGAGGGUGGUGGAAUUUCCUGUGUAGCGGUGA